CUAGAACUUCCAGUUCCUCAAACAGAACAGCAACAGCCGAAAGGUCCACCAACUUCUGGGGACAGCACUAAAAAAGGUACUGGGGUCUCAAAGCACUUCAGCCAGCCAAGCCGACCGCGCCAGUUGCACCGCGCCUCGUUCGCACUAAAAAAGGCCAAGACACACGCGCGUCCUGCCUCUCUGCUCGCAAACCAAGCUCACGCUCCAGCCACAGGCUCAGGCUACGCGAGGGCAGCUUUCGGCGAGACCUGGCUGAAAGCGGAGCAACCCCGACGGAGCCGGGGUCGGCCGCGGCAGCGGAGACAUCGCGGCGGCUCCCGGGCGGCCGGCCGCACGGCUCGCUGCAGGGCUCGCCUCAGCUCGCGCCCGGGAGCCGCGCGGCCGCAGGGCCGAGACGGCGCCCGCGGCACAGGCCCGGACCGAGCCCCUCGCGGCGCCGGGGCCGCCCGCCCCGCCGGGCCGCCGCCCCUGCGGGGCCUGUCAGGGCGCCGGGACCCCCUACCCCGAGCCGCCUCCGUCCCCCGCGGCAGCGCCGCCCCAGCCCCCGGCCCGACGCCCCCUGCAGCGGCCGGCCCGCCCGCGGCUCACCUGGGGCUGUCGGGGUCUCUCGCAUGGCGGGUCCCGGCCCGUCUCCUGCCCGCUCCCACCGCCGCUUCCCGCCCUCUCCCGCAGCUCUUCACACCCGGAAACGAUUCCGCUGGUGGCGCUUCCGCUUCCCGGCGACGCGCGCCGGCCGCGGGCGCAGAGCCCUCCCGAGGCCGCCGGGGGGCGGGGCGGGGCGGGGCGGGGCGGGCCCUGUCUCGGCGCCUCCCCGCGCUGCUGGGCCCGGAGCGCGGCGCGGGCCGCGAGGCCUGGGGUCUGCCUCGCCGCAGAGCUGCCGCACGAAGAAAUGAGAGAGUUCAAGCUGCAGCUGAAAGCUGCGGACAACAGCGGGAAAUAACGUUCCUUCUGCCUCGGAGCACGCAUUCCAAGACGUUAGCAGGAGCGAGGAAUUGGGAAAAGAGAAAACAAAACGCCAGAUUCCCAAGAACAGCUUAG
rnacentral:lncRNA from 1 species